rnacentral:ncRNA from 1 species
AAAACCAAGUCUCUAAGCAAUGGAUGUCUUGGCUCCUCACACGAUGAAGAACGUGGCAUAAUGUGUUAAGUAACCGGAGUUGCAAACAUCAUGACAGGUUAAUCUUUGAAUGCAAAUUGCGCUAAACUCGAUCUCGGUCGAGAAGCAUGGGUGUGACAGUACUACAUCUUUUAUAAUAAUUCUUAUUCUAAGCGAAUAAGUAAAUAAUAUAUAAGACAAACAACACGUAGUCUGCCAUACGCAGGAAGACCCGCUGAACUGAAGCAUCUCAUUAAGCGGAGGAAAAGAAACUAACUAGGAUUCCCUUAGUAAAGGCGAUCGAAAAGGGAACAGCCCAACGUCUUAAUCCCGCAAGGGAAAUGUAGUCGGUUCACCUAUUGCACUGGUCUAAGUCAGAUGGAAUGCUGCGCGAUUCAGAGUAAAAGCCUCGUAUGACCAACCGCAAGCUUACGAUGGACCGGGGAGAGUCGGAUACUUUGAGAGUAGUGUCUUAAGGGGGUGGUAUGUCCCAUCCAAGGCUAAAUAACGUGAGGAGACCGAUAGAAU